CAAGUCGAACGAUAUAGUGGCAGACGGGUGAGUAACGCGUGGGAACGUACCUUUCACUACGGAAUAGCUCCGAGAAAUUGGUGGUAAUACCGUAUACGCCCUCAGGGGGAAAGAUUUAUCGGUGAAAGAUCGGCCCGCGUUGGAUUAGCUAGUUGGUGAGGUAAUGGCUCACAAAGGCGACGAUCCAUAGCUGGUCUGAGAGGAUGAUCAGCCACACUGGGACUGAGACACGGCCCAGACUCCUACGGGAGGCAGCAGUGGGGAAUCUUGCACAAUGGGCGAAAGCCUGAUGCAGCCAUGCCGCGUGAAUGAUGAAGGCCUUAGGGUUGUAAAAUUCUUUCGUCAGGGAUGAUAAUGACCGUACCUGAAGAAGAAGCCCCGGCUAACUUCGUGCCAGCAGCCGCGGUAAUACGAAGGGGGCUAGCGUUGUUCGGAAUUACUGGGCGUAAAGCGCACGUAGGCGGAUUUUUAAGUCAGGUGUGAAAUCCCGGGGCUCAACCUCGGAACUGCAUUUGAAACUGGAAGUCUUGAGACCAGGAGAGGUUAGCGGAAUACCGAGUGUAGAGGUGAAAUUCGUAGAUAUUCGGUGGAACACCAGUGGCGAAGGCGGCUAACUGGACUGGUACUGACGCUGAGGUGCGAAAGUGUGGGGAGCAAACAGGAUUAGAUACCCUGGUAGUCCACACCGUAAACGAUGAGAGCUAGUUGUUGGCAGGCAUGCCUGUCGGUGACGCAGCUAACGCAUUAAGCUCUCCGCCUGGGGAGUACGGCCGCAAGGUUAAAACUCAAAGAAAUUGACGG
rnacentral:rRNA from 1 species